rnacentral:rRNA from 1 species
UACGAAGGGGGCUAGCGUUGCUUGGAAUCACUGGGCGUAAAGGGUGCGUAGGCGGGUCUUUAAGUCAGGGGUGAAAUCCUGGAGCUCAACUCCAGAACUGCCUUUGAUACUGAGGAUCUUGAGUUCGGGAGAGGUGAGUGGAACUGCGAGUGUAGAGGUGAAAUUCGUAGAUAUUCGCAAGAACACCAGUGGCGAAGGCGGCUCACUGGCCCGAUACUGACGCUGAGGUGCGAAAGCGUGGGGGAGCAAACAGG